GACGAACGCUGGCGGCGUGCCUAAUACAUGCAAGUAGAACGCUGAAGCGAGGAGCUUGCUCUUCUUGGAUGAGUUGCGAACGGGUGAGUAACGCGUAGGUAACCUGCCUUGUAGCGGGGGAUAACUAUUGGAAACGAUAGCUAAUACCGCAUAACAAUGGAUGACACAUGUCAUUUAUUUGAAAGGGGCAAUUGCUCCACUACAAGAUGGACCUGCGUUGUAUUAGCUAGUAGGUGAGGUAAUGGCUCACCUAGGCGACGAUACAUAGCCGACCUGAGAGGGUGAUCGGCCACACUGGGACUGAGACACGGCCCAGACUCCUACGGGAGGCAGCAGUAGGGAAUCUUCGGCAAUGGGGGCAACCCUGACCGAGCAACGCCGCGUGAGUGAAGAAGGGUGUCGGAUCGUAAAGCUCUGUUGUAAGUCAAGAACGGGUGUGAGAGUGGGAAGUUCACACUGUGACGGUAGCUUACCAGAAAGGGACGGCUAACUACGUG
rnacentral:rRNA from 1 species